rnacentral:rRNA from 1 species
AGAGUUUGAUCCUGCUCAGGAUGAACGCCGGCGGCGUGCCUAACACAUGCAAGUCGAACGGGGACAGACGGAAACCUAGUGAAGUCUGUCCGAGUGGCGGACGGGUGAGUAACGCGUGGAUAACCUGCCGCAUGCAGGGGGAUACCGGCUGGAAACAGCCGCUAAUACCGCAUAAGCGCACGGUGCCGCAUGGCAGAGUGCGAAAAGGAGAAAUCCGGCAAGCGAUGGAUCCGCGUCCGAUUAGCCAGUUGCGGGGUAAGGGCCCACCAAAGCGACGAUCGGUAGCCGGCCUGAGAGGGCGGACGGCCACAUUGGGACUGAGACACGGCCCAGACUCCUACGGGAGGCAGCAGUGGGGGAUAUUGCACAAUGGGGGAAACCCUGAUGCAGCGACGCCGCGUGGGUGAAGAAGUAUUUCGGUAUGUAAAGCCCUAUCAGCAGGGAAGAAAGAAGACGGUACCCGACUAAGAAGCCCCGACUAACUACGUG